AACGAACGCUGGCGGCAGGCCUAACACAUGCAAGUCGAGCGAACCCUUCGGGGUUAGCGGCGGACGGGUUAGUAACGCGUGGGAAUAUACCCUUUGGUACGGAAUAGCCUCGGGAAACUGAGAGUAAUACCGUAUGUGCCCUUCGGGGAAAGAUUAUCGCCAAAGGAUUAGCCCGCGUUGGAUUAGAUAGUUGGUGGGGUAAUGGCCUACCAAGUCUACGAUCCAUAGCUGGUUUGAGAGGAUGAUCAGCAACACUGGGACUGAGACACGGCCCAGACUCCUACGGGAGGCAGCAGUGGGGAAUCUUAGACAAUGGGCGCAAGCCUGAUCUAGCCAUGCCGCGUGGACGAUGAAGGCCUUAGGGUUGUAAAGUCCUUUCAGAUGGGAAGAUAAUGACGGUACCAUCAGAAGAAGCCCCGGCUAACUCCGUGCCAGCAGCCGCGGUAAAGUCUGUACU
rnacentral:rRNA from 1 species